CACCGCGGUAGGUGACGUUCGCGUUCGGGUAGAUGCCGCCGCCGGCAACGAAAUUCGCGUUGACGUGGUAGGUGCCGAUGCCCACCGCGGCGG
rnacentral:tRNA from 1 species